GACGAACGCUGGCGGCGUGCUUAACACAUGCAAGUCGAACGGAAAGGCCCUGCUUUUGUGGGGUGCUCGAGUGGCGAACGGGUGAGUAACACGUGAGUAACCUGCCAUUGACUUUGGGAUAACUUCAGGAAACAGGGGCUAAUACCGGAUAGGAGCUCCUGCUGCUUGGUGGGGGUUGGAAAGUUUCGGCGGUUGGGGAUGGACGCGCGGCUUAUCAGCUUGUUGGUGGGGUAGUGGCUUACCAAGGCUUUGACGGGUAGCCGGCCUGAGAGGGUGACCGGCCACAUUGGGACGGAGAUACGGCCCAGACGCCUACGGGAGGCAGCAGUGGGGAAUAUUGCACAAUGGGCGGAAGCCUGAUGCAGCAACGCCGCGUGCGGGAUGACGGCCUUCGAGUGGUAAACCGCUUUCGCCUGUGACGAAGCGUGAGUGACGGUAAUGGGUAAAGAAGCACCGGCUAACUACGUG
rnacentral:rRNA from 1 species